AGCAAGAAAUCAAAUGGCCCCUUCAACACUCUGCUUGAACCAUCUCCUCUGCCACCUCACCCCAGAGAAUAAGGUUGGGGUGCCAACCUCUGCGGAGUGUUGUGAGAAUUCAGUAUAAAGCACACGGUACAGUGUUGGACAAGCGGGGACGUUCAAAGAGCGUUGAUAGCCACUUGGAAGGAGGGCUCGACACCCGCCCCAUCAAGGUGACUGCCCAGAGGCUGUCUCUGCCGUCACAUCUCCUGUUGAAGCAGCCACAUUGCAGAUGUCAGCAGGGAAGCUUCUCUGACCUGCUAAUGGGCUGCGUCCGAAUCGGCAGGGUCUGCCUGCCUUUUCAGGGUCACGCUUGCGUUUUCUCAGCUGCUGGAGCCUGACCCUCUCUGACAAUUAUUACUUCAUGUCAGAAGGCUGCCGGGCAAGCUGUCUGGAGCUGCUGGGAAAGACGGAGCUGCCCCCAUCAAACUCCGGGCAGUGAGGCUCUGGCGGAGGGUUAAAGGCUCCAGAGUUUUCUGUGGAAAGACAUCUUGGCCGGUUCCUGUGCCCCUCUCCCUCCUGGGCUCCC